rnacentral:rRNA from 1 species
GACGAACGCUGGCGGCGUGCCUAAUACAUGCAAGUUGAGCGAUGAAGCUUGGUGCUUGCACCAAUUUGAAGAGCAGCGAACGGGUGAGUAACGCGUGGGGAAUCUGCCUUUGAGUGGGGGACAACAUUUGGAAACGAAUGCUAAUACCGCAUAAUAACUUUAAACAUAAGUUUUAAGUUUGAAAGAUGCAAUUGCAUCACUCAAAGAUGAUCCCGCGUUGUAUUAGCUAGUUGGUGAGGUAAAGGCUCACCAAGGCGAUGAUACAUAGCCGACCUGAGAGGGUGAUCGGCCACAUUGGGACUGAGACACGGCCCAAACUCCUACGGGAGGCAGCAGUAGGGAAUCUUCGGCAAUGGACGGAAGUCUGACCGAGCAACGCCGCGUGAGUGAAGAAGGGUUUCGGAUCGUAAAACUCUGUUGGUAGAGAAGAACGUUGGUGAGAGUGGAAAGCUCAUCAAGUGACGGUAACUACCCAGAAAGGGACGGCUAACUACGUG